rnacentral:rRNA from 1 species
AACGAACGCUGGCGGCAGGCCUAACACAUGCAAGUCGAACGCCGUAGCAAUACGGAGUGGCAGACGGGUGAGUAACACGUGGGAACGUACCCUUCGGUUCGGAAUAACUCAGGGAAACUUGAGCUAAUACCGGAUACGUCCGAGAGGAGAAAGAUUUAUCGCCGAGGGAUCGGCCCGCGUCUGAUUAGCUUGUUGGUGAGGUAACGGCUCACCAAGGCGACGAUCAGUAGCUGGUCNGAGAGGAUGAUCAGCCACAUUGGGACUGAGACACGGCCCAAACUCCUACGGGAGGCAGCAGUGGGGAAUAUUGGACAAUGGGCGCAAGCCUGAUCCAGCCAUGCCGCGUGAGUGAUGAAGGCCCUAGGGUUGUAAAGCUCUUUUACCCGGGAAGAUAAUGACUGUACCGGGAGAAUAAGCCCCGGCUAACUUCGUGCCAGCCGCCGCAGUAAG